rfam:Fomitiporia mediterranea MF3/22 unplaced genomic scaffold FOMMEscaffold_2, whole genome shotgun sequence.
GGACCGGUAGCUCAGUGGUAGAGCGUGUGAUUCCAGUUCAGGAGACUCCACAAGGUCGUCCGUUCAAUCCGGGCUCGGUUCA